CCGGGAGAGACCUCGUAACGGAACUGGGACGCCAGCGCUGCAUUGUGGGAGCUUUUAAAGCGGCGGGGAGCUCGGCGCGACCCUCGGGCCCACCGGGCCACGCUCGCCCGGCCCGCGACGCCCCCCCGCUGUCGCCUGGCCCGCGACGCACCGAGGCCUGAGGACCCGAAAGCCGGGCGCGGGGAGAUGACCGGUGGCUCGUGACGGUCCCACGGGCAAAAUCUUCCAUCGCCCGGGGCUGAGACUUGUCAAACUGCCCUCUACGGUCACCCGGAAAGUAGGAGGCUUUUUCUGCAGAGGGGAAAAAAAUCAAAAAGAGCCGUUCCAUCCCCCCUCCAAGGACUGGGUUUGAAUUGCUUUUCAUCUGCAGUGGCUGUGAUUCAGCGUCCCUCUUAGCAGCAGGCAAUGACAGAGGCAGGAGAGGGGAAAAAAAAAAAGAAAGAAAGAAAAAACACAGCAAAUGAAUCAAACGGACGUAGCAGGCAAGAGUGUGGUUAUCGUUGGACCAGGAUUCAGGAUCUGACUGAGUAGCUGACUCUUAAUCCAGUUUGUGUUGAUCACCAGGAGGAUCUGGACCUCAGUAUUACCACAUCUAGAGCUAUAAUCACAUCCCUGUUAAGCCUUCCUGAGAUCACACCAAAUGUCCUUGAUGGGAAUUGUAAACAACCCUUACUUCUGGUUUCUAAUGAUAUUCCAGGAAAGGAGCCUAACUAGAGUCAGUGAUAUGCCAACUCCACCUUUGCCUUCCACCAUGUUUGGAAGCUCCCUGAGGCCUCACCAGGAGCAGAUGCUCGUCCCAUGCUUCCUAUAAGCCUGCAGAACUGUGAGCCAUAAUAAACUGUGAAUUAUAAAUUGCCUUUAUAGCAAUGCAAAUGGACCAGUACAGAUGGGAUGCUGGGAAGACAGUUGUUUCCACCUUCAGUAAAGUCCGUGGAACACAGUUGUGACUAUAUUCUAGGCCAGCCAAGAUGCUUGUACUCAGAAAGGAG
rnacentral:lncRNA from 10 species